rnacentral:tRNA from 1 species
GCUUCCGUAGCUCUGUGGUAUGGUACUAUCGCAAUUAGGGGUUGUGAGUUCGAAACUCACAGGGGGCA